rnacentral:rRNA from 1 species
AGAGUUUGAUCCUGGCUCAGAAUGAACGCUGGCGGCGUGCUUAACACAUGCAAGUCGAACGAGAAAGGGAUUGCUUGCAAUCCUGAGUAGAGUGGCGCACGGGUGAGUAACACGUAGAUAAUCUACCUUCGAUUUUGGGAUAACCAUUCGAAAGGAUGGCUAAUACCGGAUAAGGUUUUAAUACGCGAGUAUAAAGAUGAAAGUAUGCCUCUUCUUGAAAGCAUAUGAUUGGAGAUGAGUCUGCGGACCAUUAGUUUGUUGGUAGGGUAAUGGCCUACCAAGACUACGAUGGUUAGCUGGUCUGAGAGGAUGAUCAGUCACACUGGAACUGGAACACGGUCCAGACUCCUACGGGAGGCAGCAGUGAGGAAUUUUGCGCAAUGGGGUAACCCCUGACGCAGCAACGCCGCGUGAGUGAAGAAGGCCUUUGGGUCGUAAAGCUCUGUCAACUGGGAAGAAAUUACAAUUAUCCAAUAGGUAGUUGUAUUGACAGUACCAGUGGAGAAGCGCCGCUAACU